rnacentral:rRNA from 1 species
AACGAACGCUGGCGGCGUGCCUAACACAUGCAAGUCGAACGAGAAAGGGGCUUCGGCUCCGAGUAAAGUGGCGCACGGGUGAGUAACACGUGGGUAACCUGCCUCUAAGAUUGGGAUAACUCGUCGAAAGAUGAGGUAAUACCGAAUAAGACCACAGUUCCCGCGGGAACAGGGGUCAAAGGUAGCCUCUGCUUGCAAGCUAUCACUUAGAGAUGGGCCUGCGCACCAUUAGCUAGUUGGUAGGGUAACGGCCUACCAAGGCAAAGAUGGUUAGCUGGUCUGAGAGGAUGAGCAGCCCCACUGGAACUGAGACACGGUCCAGACUCCUACGGGAGGCAGCAGUGGGGAAUAUUGCGCAAUGGGCGAAAGCUUGACGCAGCAACGCCGCGUGAGUGAUGAAGGCCUUCGGGUCGUAAAGCUCUGUCGGGAGGAACGAAUGCUCCUGAGGUUAACAGCCUCGGGAGGUGACGGUACCUUCAAAGGAAGCACCGGCUAACUCUGUG